rnacentral:lncRNA from 1 species
UUAAGAAUAUGUGGCAACAGAGAAAAGUGUGACUAAAAAGAUAAAUGGGAAGAAAAACAGAAAAAGUAUUCUCACAAUAUAUUGCUCUAUAUGACUAUUAUUCUAAAUAUAUGACAUGAUUACAGUUAUAUAAUUAAUAGAAAGUUUAGAAAUAAUAUAUAAAAACACAGUGGAUAUACUUGAGUGGUAGGGUAAUUGGUUUUAAUAUUCUUGAGAUACUUUUGGUAUAUGCCUAUAAUCCCAGCUACUCAGGAGACUGAGGCACAAGAAUCACUUAAAUCUGGGAGGUGGGGGUUGCAGUGAGCCGAGAUCAUGCCACUGCACUCCAGACCUGGAGAAGGGACCCCAGGUCAGAGACUGGGGGCCAUUACUUCAAGAUCAUCGAGGACCUGAAGGCUCAGAUGAGAUUAGGGAAGGCUGCCCAGAGAAAGUGGUAUUGAAGGAGGGCUUGGAGGGAUGGUUUUGACAGGCAAUGAUGAGUGUUAGGAUUUUUAGGCAAGGAAACAGCACAACAUUAGGUGGAAAAUGACUGGGCCUGUUCCGGAAACACCUGCAGUUUGGCAUAACCCUGAGGAAUAGUGGGACAUAAAUCUGAAGAAAUCAGACGCCCACCUGGGAAUCAUUUGGGGAGAACCUUAAACAUCAAAAAAUAACUGCCAGUUAUUUUCCUGUGCUCUGAAUUCUACAUCUAUUCUGUUAUUUAAUCUUUAUAACAACCCUAGGAGAUAGGUGUUACAAUCACUUCCGUUUAUAGAUAAGGAAACUAAGGAUUAAAGAGAUGAAGUAACUUGUCUCUUUUUGUUGCUAUUUUAGAUUGUGGCUUUCCAUAUUUUCAGGAUUUUGAUAUUUGUUUGUUUAUUUAGGAUCUCGUCACAUAGAGUUGAGACACCCACACUUUAUCCUCAUUCCUAACACAUUCUCUUCCUCACUUCAAGCACUGCCUCUCUUCUGUUUAUUUUAUAAUUCCUCCCCCUUUAUUUCCUAUUCCU